CAAGUCUCUUGGGAAAUCUAACGGCUCAACCGUUAGGCGUCCAGGGGAUACUACCAGGCUUGGGACCGGGAGAGGUAGGAGGUACUCCGGGGGUAGGGGUGAAAUCCUGUAAUCCUCGGGGGACCAUCGGUGGCGAAGGCGUCCUACCAGAACGGCUCCGACGGUGAGGGACGAAGGCUAGGGGCACGAACCGGAUUAGAUACCCGGGUAGUCCUAGCCGUAAACGAUGCGGGCUAGGUGUCACAGCAGCCAUGUGCUACUGUGGUGCCGCAGGGAAACCGUGAAGCCCGCCGCUUGGGAAGUACGUCCGCAAGGAUGAAACUAAAGGAA
rnacentral:rRNA from 1 species